GAUGAACGCUGGCGGCGUGCCUAAUACAUGCAAGUCGAGCGAACGGACGAGAAGCUUGCUUUUCUGAUGUUAGCGGCGGACGGGUGAGUAACACGUGGAUAACCUACCUAUAAGACUGGGAUAACUUCGGGAAACCGGAGCUAAUACCGGAUAAUAUUUUGAACCGCAUGGUUCAAAAGUGAAAGACGGUCUUGCUGUCACUUAUAGAUGGAUCCGCGCUGCAUUAGAUAGUUGGUAAGGUAACGGCUUACCAAGGCAACGAUGCAUAGCCGACCUGAGAGGGUGAUAGGCCACACUGGAACUGAGACACGGUCCAGACUCCUACGGGAGGCAGCAGUAGGGAAUCUGACGCAAUGGGCGAAAGCAUGACGGAGCAACGCCGCGUGAGUGAUGAAGGUCUUCGGAUCGUAAAACUCUGUUAUUAGGGAAGAACAUAUGUGUAAGUAACUGUGCACAUCUUGACGGUACCUAAUCAGAAAGCCACGGCUAACUACGUG
rnacentral:rRNA from 1 species